rnacentral:rRNA from 1 species
UACGGAGGGUGCGAGCGUUGUCCGGAAUUACUGGGUGUAAAGCGCGUGUAGGCGGCAGGCCAAGUCGGUGGUGAAAGCGCCCGGCUCAACUGGGCGAGGUCCAUGGAAACUGGUCAGCUGGAGGACGGUAGAGGCGAGUGGAAUUCCCGGUGUAGUGGUGAAAUGCGUAGAGAUCGGGAGGAACACCUGUGGCGAAGGCGGAUCUCUGGGCCGAUACUGACGCUGAGGAGCGAAAGCGUGGGGAGCGAACAGG